AAAUGGAAGCUUUGAUCUAUUUCUUAAAGAGAAGAAAAGUAAGAACUGAAAUCCAAACUUCUGACAAGCAUUUGGGCUUCCUAGUUUUUCUUUAUGUCGAAGUAGUUUGUUUUGUACUGGAUUUUUGUGGCAAGGUUUUGGUAGUGGGGUAGCUACAGGGUGGCUUCUCUGAGAAGCUGCUGGAAGCUUCCUCCAUGUCUGACAGAGCUAAUGCCAAACAGCUCCAAGAUGGACCUUGCACCCGACAAGGGUGAGCUCGUCAGCGAUAGUGUGAGCACCUCUGGGAUAAUAUGUUUCAGGAGGGGGGAAAAAAGCUGAGCAGGAACAACUGAAGACAGCGAAGAAAUAUGGGACAGAAACAGCUGCAGAAACUGCAGACGCUGAGUUUGGUGAAGAAGAAGAAGGGGGAGGAAGUGCUCCAGGUGACAGAGCUGAGAUUCCCCUGCAGCCCAUGGAGGUCCACAGAGGAGCAGUGACCCACCUGCAGCCUGUGGAGGAGCCCCAUACCAGAGCAGCUGAGGAGGGGACUGAUGAAACGGCUUUGAUGGGCACCAGGAGUCCAGCCAGGGGAAGUGAAGAACUAACCUACAGUACAUCUAAACAAAGCUAUCUGUAAAGAUCUUAUUAGCAGUGAAGACCAUAAAACUGAAGAGUCUGACUUGGCGUGGAAUGGACAGGAUCAGUUAAGUUAGGACAUGGUCUGUACUACUUUUGCAGUCUGCACUCCUACUACAGAAUGACAGAUACAACCUACGACAAGAGCAAGGUAAUAAGCAGUUGUCCUUAAAUUAUAGCUCUACAUGUAAAAUCUCCUGAAUUUCAGGCAAGCACUGACUGUAAUACAAAUUCAAGUUAAUGAAUUUUUAAUACAUCUUCUCUAUUUAAAGAUGAUGACUUACAGCUGGCAUUGCUUAUAUUAAAUUUGUGGUAUUUUCCAUUGUUUGUUUUUAAUUAUUUUGAUUAGAUUAUGCUUGGAAUUGUAUAGACAAAUUCAACCCCACAUAAGCAACUUCAGUUUCUGAUGCAGCCAAGAGAAGUUUCAUCUACAUAUAACAGGACUGAAUAGGCUCUUUGUAUUUUAAAAACCAUAUCAGAACUAUUUCAAGGACUUAAACAGAAAGUUAAAGCUAGAGGUACCAAACUAAACCUGAUAAUUUAGAUUUGGAAUUGUAAGUGUUCACAUCCAGAUUUGGGGGGAUGGCAUUAUUUCUUCUCCAAACUCGACUAUCACGCUAUGCACCAAUAACUUAAUAUAUUUUCAGUAAAUUUAUCAUAAUAAUGAAAUAAGAUUCAAAAAUUACUUGAUAUUUGAGGCCUGAGGAGCCAAAGAUUGUUGCAAGUGAUGUUGUUCUUGUAGCUCUUUCUGAGCAUCAUCUAGUUUAAUUUUUUUAUAGUACUUUUCCUUCUACCUGUAGCACAUACCAAGAUGGAGCCUAAAAUGUUUAUGAACAACUGAUAAAUACAGUAUUACAAACUGUUAAGUUACAAAGAUAUUUUCACACCCUCUCUGGAGAAGUACAAGGAGCAAUGGCACAUAAGCAGCUCUGACUAUCAGAACACAGUUCAAUUAAACUACAGCAGUUUAGACCUGCUGUCACUACGCAUAUCACAGCAGUGCCUAUAGCUAAUCAGUAUAAGGAAUAAACAGAAAAGUGUGAUAAAACAAAAUUUCCAGUGUGCCCUACCUAAAUUAUUUCUCUGAAUAUUGUAUAAGAUGAACGUAUUUCAAUCUAUUACAAAGAUAUAAUCAAACAUGCAUCAAAAUCAUAUUAGUAUGUAAAGCUAAUAAAGUAAGAAGAGCACGAACACAUAUACAAUUUGUACUGUAUUUUUAAGCAAAUUCAAGCAUAUGUAUAGUUUAAAAUAUUAUAUUUUUAGGAAGCUUCAAGGUUAUGUUUUUUAAAUACAGGAACUUCAGCAGGAGUACAGAUGUAAGGAAUUCCUACUGUUUCCACCCACAGCUGCUCAUUCCUAUUUAUUAGUUGUGCUUAGUUGCUCCAAAAAUUGUUUUUUUCACACUGUGAAAUAAAUCAAAUAACUGAUCCAUGUUGAAAAAAUCAUACUAAAAAAAAAGAUGUGGAGGUGUCCUAAUUGUAGAGGCUAGGACCAGUUUAUCACUAUGUGGGUAUAAUCAAAACUGUAUUCUACACUCUCCGUGUCAUUUCUGAAGUACUGGUAAUAAUGGAUAAUUUGCAGUAGCUGCCCAGGGCACACCUGACACCUCAGGCUACAAGGUGGGUGUUAAAGAACUCUGGGAAGAGUGUUUCUUUGUCUUCACACCAAUGACUCAGCUGUGAUAACUCCCCUCUGGGGAGGAAUUAGCACCUUCACACCCAGCCUGGGGGGUCAUCUCUGCUAAUGGGCCAUACUGGACUGGCAUAAUAGGCAGCUCCAACAACUUAGACCAUCAAGGACUCCAAAAAUAUCCCAUGACUCACAGAGUUAAAUAACCCUGGGGGAGGUACUGGACAUUCCCAGCUGAACCUGAGCACAUAUAAUCUUGGGGUUUUGGGAUUUCUAGUACCACUUGUCAUAUCCAGAGGAUGACCAGAACUUCAACAGGACUGCAACAGUCGCUCUCGACAAGACUAUGAUCAUCACUUCAACAGAACUGCAAUCAUCAUAGAGACCAUUUCCUUUUACUUUGCCUCCAGGGGGGCCACAUGGUGGCCAGCACCGGGGUGGAUGAACACCACUGUGUUCUUGUCCCGGGGUGCAGGGUUAUACAUCUGUCUUUGUGGGUUAAAACCAGUUUUCCCUGUAUCAUUGCAUUUAUUGUAAUUUUUUUUUUUAGUAAACUGUAAG